AGGCAAAUGUGAAAGCUGGAACCCCAACAUCCAUCUUGGGCCAUGAGAUGGUGAAGCCGUAUAUAGAGGUAGGGGGAGCAGAAGGAAGAUGCCUGGGUCUCUGAGGUCUGCAGACCUGCUAUACCAGUCCCGACUGCCUGUAUCUGGACAGAACACAUUUCUGGAAAACAACAAAUUCUGUGUGUUUAAGCCACUGUUCUUUUGAGUUUUCUGCAAGUCACAGAUGAAUCUAAUCCUAAUACUGGAUGGAAAGCUAGCCCAAGAGGAACUCGUUUGAAACCUUCGUGGCUUCCUGUUGCCUGCAGGAGAAAGUCCUGGCUUUCAAGGCCUGUACAAUCUGCCUUAACCUUCCUUUCUAGCCUCAUCUGCAACUCAAAACUUCCAAAUCAUCCUUGGACACUCCAAUCAAAGAGGACUCAGGAACCAGGUACCAUCUUGAGACCAGAGACCUAACCUGUCUGUGUCUUGAUCUUGGACUUCCCAGCCUCCAGAAGAACCGUUUUUGGGCUUGGACUGGAACCACACCAUCAGCGUUCCUGCGUCUCCAGCUUGCAGAUGUCAGAUCAUGGGACUUCUCAGUUUCCAUAAUUGUGUGAGCCAACCUCUAAUGAUAAAUCUGGCCUUGGUGACCCAGGAGCCAGGCAGAG